GACAGAGGUGCCAAGCGUUAGUCGGAAUCACUGGGCUUAAAGCGUGUGUAGGCGGAUUGGUAAGUACCUUGUGAAAUCCCACGGCUUAACCGUGGAACUGCUUGGUAUACUGCUUAUCUUGGGCCACUUAGGGGCUACCGGAACAAACGGUGGAGCGGUGAAAUGCGUAGAUAUCAGGAAGAACACCCGUGGCGAAGGCGGUUCUCUGGGACGGUACUGACGCUGAGACGCGAAAGCGUGGGGAGCGAACAGG
rnacentral:rRNA from 1 species